ensembl:lincRNA
ACAUCUAUCACUCACUCUAAAAUGACCUUUAUUUAUUUAUUUUUUCCCUGCAACAUUCUCUCCACAUGGGCUUAUGUUGAGAAGCUGGAGAUUAGUGAUGUCAGCCCCGAGUUUUCACCAUCUGGCAUUUGGAGUCCUGGAAAUACAGUUACAGAAGCACUCUGUGAUCAGCUGGCUCCACUCCAGCACUACAUUUGGGAGAGCAGAGCUAUUGGUCCAAAGCUACACUGCUGAGAGUCUGUUUCCCAGUACACCUGACAGUGGGACAGUGGCAUGGAGCUGGAAACUGUAACCAAGGCUGCUUGCUGCUAAGGCCCAGUGCUGGAGCUGGGAGAAGUCGACACAACAGUGAGCAAACUGGAAGAGCCCAGUCGCCCUCUAGAUCCCCUAUUUGGCAGAACCUAUAAUAAGCAAGUCAGCUGUAAAGGACAAUUUGCCAAGUCUCAGCCCUUACAUCUUCAAGAAAGCAUAGAAAGGUCAGUUUGCAACUGAAAGACAAAGCUGAAACACAAUGGGGCUCAGCUUUCUGUCCUCUAGGAAGCACUGUAGAGUUCAAACAUGAAAUGAUUGAGACGUGAAUUACCAGCUACUUCAGGCUCUGCAUCCUUGGGUAAGAUAUUGAACUCCCUGCUUCUGUUUCCUUCUCUAGAAAAUGGGAAUAAUGACAGUAUCUAGUUAUUGAAUGGAUUAAAUGAGGUGAGGGCUGUAAGGUGUGUCCUUAACUUCUUGGUCAAAUCUUUGUUCAAAUAUACCUUCUCAGAGAGUACUUCUCUGGUCAUUAAUACAAAUUGCAAACCCUGUACCUGGCACUCAUUCUUCUUCUUCUCUAAUCUUUAUUGUCUUACAACACAUACUAUAAUUUACCUAUUAAUUUUUUUCAUUGUGUGUCUCCCUACUGGAGCAUGAGCUCCACAAGAGCUGGUCAUUUGGUCUGUUUUGUUGUCUAUCACAUUGUUGAUAUUCACUAGGUAUUUAUUGUAUGCAUAAAAGAUCUUUUCAAGCAAAUGGCAUGUGCUGAAAAAAUGUUAGCUACCACCAAUAAGAUAAAAAUUAUUUUCUUACUGUUUUGUCUUUCCAUACUAUGGCCACCUCAAAACCGACCUCCCCUCUGUAAAAAUGAGAUGCUAACCUACUUUGAAAGUCUCUUGAGAGGACUAAGUGAGAGUUCCUGGCCCUCAAUAUGAGUUUAAAAACUUUAGGCUUAAAGGGUGGCUCCCAGGGCAUUGGGGCAGAUGAGCAAGUUAGGCCCUAAACACUAUUCCAUCUAUCUCUGGAAGUGGCUCCUCAGGAAAUGGAGGUUGACUGUCACUGUGGGCACCAAGGUGGAAGGGAAAAUGGACGUUAAAUGUGUGGAACCAAAGUAAAUGGGGGGCAAGGGAGGAGUUUCUUGAGAGUACACAAGGAUGGAUAUAAAACAUGUAAUAUUACACCAUAACAUAUAGGAGACGACAGACUGAUAAUGUAAACCAUAAUGUAAAACAUAGGAGAACUAAAAAUGUAAAGAACUGUGUAUCCUAAAGUAUGCACCAUAAUGUAAGCACAGAUAUUACCAUGUUAGAAAGCUAAUAUCUCAGACUCUGUACAUCACCUUAAGUAAAUAUGAUGUGAAUAGGGUGUAAGAGUAUCGCUGUGGAAGGAAAAAGGUGUUGUGGUGAAUGUAUGGGAGUGUUGUAUAUUAUAUAUAUGCAUUGCUGUGGUCUAGGACUCCUA